rnacentral:rRNA from 1 species
AUUGAACGCUGGCGGCAGGCCUAACACAUGCAAGUCGAGCGCGCGGCGGACGGGUGAGUAAUGUAUGGGGACUGCCCGCUAGAGGGGGAUAACUACUGUGAACGGUAGCUAAUACCGCAUACUAUCGGAUAACCCAUAUGGGAUUAGCUAGUAGUUGAGGUAAUGGCUCACCUAGGCGACGAUCCCUAGCUGGUCUGAGAGGAUGAUCAGCCACACUGGGACUGAGACACGGCCCAGACUCCUACGGAGGCAGCAGUGGGGAAUAUUGCGCAAUGGGCGAAAGCCUGAUGCAGCCAUGCCGCGUGUAUGAAGAAGGCCUUAGGGUUGUAAAGUACUUUCAGUCGAGAGGCGUUACCGACAGAAGAAGCACCGGCUAACUCCGUGCCAGCAGCCGCGGUAAUAC